rnacentral:hammerhead_ribozyme from 1 species
AUCCAGUUGACGAGUCCUAGAUAGGACGAAAUGCGCUUUAUCCUGGAU